CAUGCCUAACACAUGCAAGUCGAACGAGAUCUUCGGAUCUAGUGGCGCACGGGUGAGUAACGCGUAGGAACCUGCCAAGUAGUGGGGAAUAACAGUUGGAAACGACUGCUAAUACCGCAUACGCCCUUCGGGGGAAAGAUUUAUCGCUAUUUGAGGGUCCUGCGUUCGAUUAGCUUGUUGGCGGGGUAACGGCCCACCAAGGCGACGAUCGAUAGCUGGUCUGAGAGGAUGAUCAGCCACACUGGGACUGAGACACGGCCCAGACUCC
rnacentral:rRNA from 1 species